AUUGAACGCUGGCGGCAGGCUUAACACAUGCAAGUCGAGCGGAGCGGCGGACGGGUGAGUAAUGCCUAGGAAUCUGCCUGGUAGUGGGGGACAACGUCCGGAAACGGGCGCUAAUACCGCCUACAAUCCGAUGAGCCUAGGUCGGUUUAGCGAGUUGGUGGGGUAAUGGCCUACCAGGGCGACGAUCCGUAACUGGUCUGAGAGGAUGAUCAGUCACACUGGAACAGGGACACGGUCCAGCCGCCUACGGUAGGCAGCGGUGGGGAAGAUGGGAAAAUGGGAGAAAGCGUGAACCAGCCAUGCCGCGUGUGGGAAGAGGGUCUGCAGAUUGUAAAGCACUUUAAGUUGGGAGGCGUUACCAACAGAAUAAGCACCGGCUAACUUCGUGCCAGCAGCCGCGGUAAUAC
rnacentral:rRNA from 1 species